rnacentral:rRNA from 1 species
AGAGUUUGAUCCUGGCUCAGAAUCAACGCUGGCGGCGUGCGUAACACAUGCAAGUCGAACGCGAAAGUCCCGCAAGGGAUUAGUAGAGUGGCAAACGGGUGAGUAACACGUGGGUGACCUGCCUUCGAGUGGGGGAUAACGUCCCGAAAGGGACGCUAAUACCGCGUGACAUCCUGCCUUUGAAGAGGUGGAGCUUAAAGCUGGGGAUCGCAAGACCUGGCGCUUGAAGAGGGGCCCGCGCCUGAUUAGCUAGUUGGUGAGGUAACGGCUCACCAAGGCAUCGAUCAGUAUCCGGCCUGAGAGGGCGGACGGACACACUGGGACUGAGACACGGCCCAGACUCCUACGGGAGGCAGCAGUGGGGAAUUGUUCGCAAUGGGCGCAAGCCUGACGACGCAACGCCGCGUGGAGGAUGAAGAUCUUCGGGUCGUAAA